rnacentral:rRNA from 1 species
UAGGGAAUCUUCGGCAAUGGACGAAAGUCUGACCGAGCAACGCCGCGUGAGUGAAGAAGGUUUUCGGAUCGUAAAACUCUGUUGUUAGAGAAGAACAAGGACGUUAGUAACUGAACGUCCCCUGACGGUAUCUAACCAGAAAGCCAGGGCUAACUACGUGCCAGCAGCCGCGGUAAUAGGUAGGUGGCAAGCGUUGUCCGGAUUUAUUGGGCGUAAAGCGAGCGCAGGCGGUUUCUUAAGUCUGAUGUGAAAGCCCCCGGCUCAACCGGGGAGGGUCAUUGGAAACUGGGAGACUUGAGUGCAGAAGAGGAGAGUGGAAUUCCAUGUGUAGCGGUGAAAUGCGUAGAUAUAUGGAGGAACACCAGUGGCGAAGGCGGCUCUCUGGUCUGUAACUGACGCUGAGGCUCGAAAGCGUGGGGAGCAAACAGG